UCCCCUGUAGCUCAGCGGUAGAGCAAUCGACUGUUAAUCGAUUGGUCGCAGGUUCGAUCCCUGCCGGGGGAG
rnacentral:tRNA from 1 species